AGUGCUUCUUGUCUUGCUCCUACAAGUGUGUGUGUCCACAUUUCGCGCCUCCACGGCCCGACGGAGGAAGUUUGGAAGGGAAACGUCGCAGUGCGUCAUCUCCAUCGGGUCGCCUGGCAGAACAACAAGCCUCGGAGAUAGGAACCAUGGAUCAGAACAGCGGCCUCCAAGUGGCCUAUGCAUUUGCGCGUGAAGCCGCAUCAAAAUCAACAUCAUUUCGGCGCUGUGCCAGAGAGCGUUGUCUAGCCUGUGGCGUCGUGCAAACAAGGACUCGCGUCAUGCCGAAGCUCGGAUAAAAAAGAUGCCAAGUGCUCAGCUCAGAAGAAAAAGACAUCGUUCGUGCUAUUGAACGGGACACCAAGAAGUCGGUGCUGGCCCGCGACAGGGAUCGACUGUUGACUACGGUGUGUGGCAUUUGGAACGCGAAGCAGUUCCUCGGCAGCGCUGCUGCGACCGCGGAGAUAUGUUGGCUACGAGGUCCGACUUUUCGCAUCGUUGCCAAAGUGUCGCCUAGCGACAGUGAUGAGGACGACACAGAAAGCGACAGCAAGGGCGAUUCAGGCCUGACAAUGGCAGAAGCUGCGCGUUAGGUCAGCCUCAUGAAUGCAAUUGUUGCGAUGGGAACAGCGCCCCGCAAUAAAGAAGGCGCCCCGCAGCAUCUGCAGCGCUACCACGUUUGUGCACGGAGAAUAUGCAACGCCAAGAAAGAAUCUGCCAUGCGAGUGUUUGCAGCGAAGAGGGGGCUGGCUAAAAAGCUGGCUUGCAGCUUCAGUAAGUUUGAGGCCGCGGUCGUCGAUGUUAGGUCGCCGCAGCAUCAAAGGAAAAUAGCACUUUUGUUGCGCGAAGUGAAUAAAUACUGCACGUUCUUUUCCCAU